rnacentral:hammerhead_ribozyme from 1 species
ACCGUCCCAAAUAGGACGAAACGCGCGUCUUGGAU